rnacentral:piRNA from 1 species
GAAGAACUAUCAAAACAAUAA